rnacentral:lncRNA from 1 species
UCUAGUAUUUUUUGGGUGAUGUGUUGUUUCCCACAACCAGACAUUCUUUUGCCUUCUCUAUUGCCAUGAUCAAUGCGCGACGCAUAGAUGAUAUGGAUAGCAAGCUAAGCCUGUCACAAACUCUAAACCCGCGCCACUAAUUAACACCAUGAUCUUUCUAGUGGAUACACGCGUGCAUGCCAUUAGCAAACUCACUUAGCCACUACUAGUGGUGAGAAUGAGAUACACAAGAUCUCCAAGACGCCCAUGUUACAACUAGCUCGCACUAGUUUAUUACAUGGCCGAUUUAGUUGGCUUCAAGCUUACAUGCCC